rnacentral:rRNA from 1 species
AUUGAACGCUGGCGGCAGGCCUAACACAUGCAAGUCGAACGAGUGGCGGACGGGUGAGUAAUGUCUGGGAAACUGCCCGAUGGAGGGGGAUAACUACUGGAAACGGUAGCUAAUACCGCAUACCAUCGGAUGUGCCAAGAUGGGAUUAGCUUGUAGGUGAGGUAACGCCUCACCGAGGAGACGAGCCCUAGAUGGUCUGAGAGGUUGACCAGCCAAACGGGGACUGAGACACGGUCCAGACUCCUACGUGAGGCAGCAGUGGGGAAUUGUGCUCAAUGGUCGCAAGCCUGAUGCAGCCAUGCCGCGUGUGUGAAGAAGGCCUUCGGGUUGUAAAGUGCUGUCGGCGGGGAAGCGUUACCCGCAGAGGGAUCACCGGCUAACUCCGUGCCAGCCGCGGCGGUAAUUC